rnacentral:tRNA from 1 species
AUUUUCUUAGUAUAACUAAUACAGCUGGCUUCCAACCACCUAAUCUUGGUUUAACCCCAAGAGAAAAUA